AGCUCCAUUAGCGUAUAUUAAAGUUGUUGCAGUUAAAAAGCUCGUAGUUGGAUUUCGGUGCGGGUCGCUGUCGGUCGGCCGCGAGGCUUGUUCACUGACCGGCCUGCUCUUCUUCUCCGAAGACGACGUCGUGCUCUUCGUUGAGCGUGCGUCGGACUCGGGACGUUUACUUUGAAAAAAUUAGAGUGUUCAAGGCAGGCUUUUUUACAGCUUGAAUACAUGAGCAUGGAAUAAUGGAACAGGACUACGGUCCCUUGUUUCGUUGGUUUCGAGGACCGAAGUAAUGAUUAAGAGGGACAGUUGGGGGCAUCCGUAUUUCGCAGUCAGAGGUGAAAUUCUUGGAUCCGCGAAAGACGAACUACUGCGAAAGCAUUUGCCAAGAGUGUUUUCAUUAAUCAAG
rnacentral:rRNA from 1 species